rnacentral:rRNA from 1 species
UACGUAGGGGGCAAGCGUUGUCCGGAUUUAUUGGGCGUAAAGAGCGUGUAGGCGGCCAUGCAGGUCCGCUGUGAAAACUGGAGGCUUAACCUCCAGACGUCGGUGGAAACCGUAAGGCUAGAGUCCGGAAGAGGAGAGUGGAAUUCCUGGUGUAGCGGUGAAAUGCGUAGAUAUCUGGAGGAACACCGGUGGCGAAGGCGGCGUCCUGGACCAACACUGACACUGAGGAGCGAAAGCCAGGGGAGCAAACGGG